rnacentral:lncRNA from 1 species
AUAAAAACACACACAGGUGUGUUCGAUCGACAGGAGGAGCAGGGAGAAAGGGGUGAAACCCUAACUCAACAAAACCUUCAAAUUGGAGGAUCAAACGAAGGCCAAAUUCGGAUUGGAAUAUACAUAAACGAUCACCAAGUCAAGGGGAUCGAAAGGUAUGUCGAAUUUUUGACAUUCAUGAAGUGGGAGCUUGGAAAGGAACGGGUCAAACGGAUCAUGGAUGCAAAGAAUGUUUGCGCGGACGCGAGGUAAGUUAAGCUUACACUCUUUUUUUAAUUACAAUACACUUGUGAAUAUUGAUUGUGAAUAAUGGUAAGUAAUUGGAAUAUGAUGUUCCGGCAAGAUACAAUGCAAGUCGGAAUAUGUAAAAAGGUAAGAAACCAUGAAUUAUGGUAAAAGGGGUAAAAAGGUAAAUUAGUCAUGUAAUGACGAACAAAUAAAAAUGGUUUUGAGUAAAACGAGUUUAAGGGAAAACCGGGAUAGGUUUAAAGGGAUGAAAUGGUAACUAAAUACCAUCUCAUACGGAUAAAUGGUCAUUUAGGCUAAAUGGGUCAAAUGGUAUUGUUAACACCAUUUGACAAUUUCAUUUGACAAUUGCUUGUUGAGUGUUGUAAUCACAGGAAACAACAUAAACGUGCGUUGUUUUAACUAGAAAGAUUUAAAGCAAAAAGUUAUGUAAACAGGUCAAUACCUUGACCCGAGCCAGGUACGCAUAGUUAAGUUGCUAGAUAAACAUGCAAAUAUGGGUCAAAUAAUUAGCGAGAGUCCUUCGUCGUGAAUGAGGGACUAAAAAUUGACCAAAACGCCCAUGAUUUGUAAAUCGGGCAAAUGACCCUUAGAGGUCGUUUAGAUACUAGUAUUAUGAUUAUGCAACUCCUAGAUAUAUGUAAGAGUUGUAAGUAUAAACCUUGAGAGUCAAAUGCCUAAGAACGGGUAAAUUACGUAGAAUGACUAUCCAAAGGGUAAAAUUUAGAAUAACGGUCCGUUAUGUUAAAUCCACUACAAAAUAGUUGUUGUGGAAUAUUAGAGGCUACUAAAAAAAUGGAAAUACGAAGUGUACAAAGAGAAAUGCGAGUUUGAUGCUUAAAUGCAUGAAAACUUCUAAACGGGUCAAAAUAAAGUAGGUGGUAAAAUGUUGGCUUAAGUGUAAUAAAGAAAAACGUAAACCGGGUAACGGGAGCGUAAACUAUAUGAAUAAUGGAUCCGGGUAAUGGAUGAUAGCUUAGACAUGUUAAGAAACGAACCCCAAGCAAUUAAAAUGAGUUUGGAUAGGUUUGGAUGCAAAUUUGAUGAAAAAUAAACGUGCAGAGUUGAUAUGGGCGGGUGAACUUUUGACACGGCCGGGUGAAGGGGCUGUGAAAAAUAUAUGUUAAGCUGACACGGCCGGGUGAUCUUUUGACACGGCCGAGUGAAGGG